rnacentral:rRNA from 1 species
UAGGGAAUCUUCGGCAAUGGACGGAAGUCUGACCGAGCAACGCUGCGUGAGUGAAGAAGGGUUCCGGAUCGUAAAGCUCUGUUGUUAGAGAAGAACGAUGGUAGGAGUGGAAAAUCUACCAAGUGACGGUAACUAACCAGAAAGGGACGGCUAACUACGUGCCAGCAGCCGCGGUAAUACGUAGGUCCCGAGCGUUGUGCGGAUUUAUUGGGCGUAAAGCGAGCGCAGGCGGUUCUUUAAGUCUGAAGUUAAAGGCAGUGGCUUAACCAUUGUACGGUUUGGAAACUGGAGGACAUGAGGGCAGAAGGAGAGAGUGGAAUUCCCUGUGUAGCGGUGAAAUGCGUAGAUAUAUGGAAGAACGCCGGUGAAGAAAGCGGCUCUCUGGUCUGUUACUGCCGCUGAGGCUCGAAAGCGUGGGGAACAAACAGG